GUGGGUGUAGUUUAGCGGUAAAACCCGUGUUUUGGGAACACGAGUCGAAUGUUCGAUUCAUUCCACCCGCA
rnacentral:tRNA from 1 species